rnacentral:rRNA from 1 species
AUUGAACGCUGGCGGCAGGCUUAACACAUGCAAGUCGAGCGGGGUGAUGGUGCUUGCACUAUCACUUAGCGGCGGACGGGUGAGUAAUGCUUAGGAAUCUGCCUAUUAGUGGGGGACGACAUCUCGAAAGGGAUGCUAAUACCGCAUACGUCCUACGGGAGAAAGCAGGGGAUCACUUGUGACCUUGCGCUAAUAGAUGAGCCUAAGUCGGAUUAGCUAGUUGGUGGGGUAACGGCCUACCAAGGCGACGAUCUGCAGCGGGUCUGAGAGGAUGAUCCGCCACACUGGGACUGAGACACGGCCCAGACUCCUACGGGAGGCAGCAGUGGGGAAUAUUGGACAAUGGGGGGAACCCCGAUCCAGCCAUGCCGCGUGUGUGAAGAAGGCCUUAUGGUUGUAAAGCACUUUAAGCGAGGAGGAGGCUCUUUUGGUUAAUACCUAAGAUGAGUGGACGUUACUCGCAGAAUAAGCACCGGCUAACUCUGUGCCAGCAGCCGCGGUAA